AUCAACCUAUUUAUCUUAAAUGCUUUACUAAUCUUACUUUUGCAUUGAUACCAAAUUGACUCGAUACAUUUGUUUUUGAUUCUUACUCUAAUUGUCUCACUCUUACUUUAACAUCAAGACAAGAAAAAGAAAAGAGAUAUACCUUCUCACAUCUAUUGCUCUGAUACUAGAAUCAAAAAAUUUUUUUUAUAUACACACACUUUAUAUAAGAAAGAAGG
rnacentral:lncRNA from 1 species